rnacentral:pre_miRNA from 1 species
UCUUAUGGAUUAGCAAAGAAGUGGUUUUUUGAGAUGGAAUCUACUCCUGGUGACAAUGCUAUGAA